UAUCACAACCAUCAGUCAUUACAUCAUUAAUUCAUUCAACAAAUAUUAUAUUGCAUGAGUAUUUCUUGUCAGGUGUUGAGCUGGCCUCCUAAGUUACAGGGUCUUGUGCAUAGCCAUUUGAGCCAUUUGUCUCCAUAAAAUAAAUCUGACUAUCCCCAAGCAUGUCUGAUUCUCGAGCCCAGCUUCUCCCAGUCCGUUCAUUGCCAUCCAACAAAAGAUGGACUAAAGACAUGGGACUCUUGGCAGGUAAAAUUAAGAGGUCAAAACAGUAAGAGGAAAUUUAAGAGUAAUAAAUACAUAGUCCUACAUCCAAUUCUAAAGGAGAAUAAAGGCCUAUACAUAGAAGCGGAGAAAUCUGGCUUAAUACAGCAGUUCAUAUGGAGGAAAAGACCCUGAGAUUUUAGUUAUCAACAGGCUUGAGAAGGGUUAACAAUGUGAUGAGACUCCUUAGAAGAGCUAGUCACAUCUUAGGCUGCUCUGAUUAGGGGUUAUGCUAACGCCUAUACUUUGGGCUGAUCAUUGUCUUCAGCUCUAUAAGCUAUAUUCUAGGGAGAAUAUUAACGGACUAGAGGGCAUGCAGGGCAGUGAUUCUGAGGCAUAGAACUGGGCUUUGGCUGAACUUGGAGAGUACGUUAAAAAGCACAGAUUCCUGGAGUUCCCAUCGAGGCUCCUGGAGACAAAUCUGACCAUCAUCCAUGAGGAUAGAGGUUUGAUCCCUGGCCUUGCUCAGUGGGUUAAGGAUCUGGCGUUGCCAUGAGCUAUGGUAUAGGUCACAGACGCGGCUUGGAUCCUGUGUUGCUGUGGCUGUGGUGUAAGCCCAGGGGCUAUAGCUCCUAUUUGACCCCUAGCUUGGGAACCUCCAUAUGCUGCAGGUGCGGCCCUAUAAAGAUAAAAAACAAACAAACAAAGGAACAAACAAACAAACCAAAAAUAAAAAACCAAAAACCAAAAAACCACGACAACACAGAUUUCUGGGUACAUUCAGGUGUUUCCGGGAGUUCCCGUCGUGGCGCAGUGGUUAACGAAUCCGACUAGGAACCAUGAGGUUGUGGGUUCGGUCCCUGCCCUUGCUCAGUGGGUUGACGAUCCGGCGUUGCCGUGAGCUGUGGUGUAGGUUGCAGACGCGGCUCGGAUCCAGCGUUGCUGUGGCUCUGGCGUAGGCUGGUGGCUGCAGCUCCGACUGGACCCCUAGCCUGGGAACCUCCAUAUGCCCCAGAAGCGGCCCAAG
rnacentral:lncRNA from 1 species